rnacentral:rRNA from 1 species
AGAGUUUGAUCCUGGCUCAGGACGAACGCUGGCGGCGUGCUUAACACAUGCAAGUCGAACGGAAAGCGCUCUUCGGAGUGACUCGAGUGGCGAACGGGUGAGUAACACGUGGGUGAUCUGCCCUGCACUUUGGGAUAAGCCUGGGAAACUGGGUCUAAUACCGGAUAGGACUACGCGAUGCAUGUCGUGUGGUGGAAAGCUUUUGCGGUGUGGGAUGGGCCCGCGGCCUAUCAGCUUGUUGGUGGGGUGAUGGCCUACCAAGGCGACGACGGGUAGCCGGCCUGAGAGGGUGUCCGGCCACACUGGGACUGAGAUACGGCCCAGACUCCUACGGGAGGCAGCAGUGGGGAAUAUUGCACAAUGGGCGCAAGCCUGAUGCAGCGACGCCGCGUGAGGGAUGACGGCCUUCGGGUUGUAAACCUCUUUCAACAGGGACGAAGCGCGAGUGACGGUACCUGUAGAAGAAGCACCGGCCAACUACGUGCCAGCAGCCGCAGUAAUACGUAGGGUGCGAGCGUUGUCCGGAAUUACUGGGCGUAAAGAGCUCGUAGGUGGUUUGUCGCGUUGUUCGUGAAAACUCACAGCUUAACUGUGGGCGUGCGGGCGAUACGGGCAGACUGGAGUACUGCAGGGGAGACUGGAAUUCCUGGUGUAGCGGUGGAAUGCGCAGAUAUCAGGAGGAACACCGGUGGCGAAGGCGGGUCUCUGGGCAGUAACUGACGCUGAGGAGCGAAAGCGUGGGGAGCGAACAGGAUUAGAUACCCUGGUAGUCC